UCCAAAUUGGUGUAGUGGUUAACAUCCAAGAUUCUCAAUUCUUUGAACCUCUUGGGCCCAGGGUUCGAUUCCCUGAUUUGGAA